AUUGAACGCUGGCGGCAGGCCUAACACAUGCAAGUCGAGCGGAUGAAGGGAGCUUGCUCCUGGAUUCAGCGGCGGACGGGUGAGUAAUGCCUAGGAAUCUGCCUGGUAGUGGGGGAUAACGUCCGGAAACGGGCGCUAAUACCGCAUACGUCCUGAGGGAGAAAGUGGGGGAUCUUCGGACCUCCCGCUAUCAGAUGAGCCUAGGUCGGAUUAGCUAGUUGGUGGGGUAAAGGCCUACCAAGGCGACGAUCCGUAACUGGUCUGAGGGGAUGAUCAGUCACACUGGAACUGAGACACGGUCCAGACUCCUACGGGAGGCAGCAGUGGGGAAUAUUGGACAAUGGGCGAAAGCCUGAUCCAGCCAUGCCGCGUGUGUGAAGAAGGUCUUCGGAUUGUAAAGCACUUUAAGUUGGGAGGAAGGGCAGUAAGUUAAUACCUUGCUGCUUUGACGUUACCAACAGAAUAAGCACCGGCUAACUUCGUG
rnacentral:rRNA from 1 species